GGUAUAUUUUAUAUCUUUGGUGAGUGGUAGUUCCCCGCUCACAGGGUCCAGAUUUCAAUUAAAAUGACGUGGAAGAUUUGGUUGCUGUGCUUGGCAGUGGUCUCCACUUAUGCCAACGAUUUGGAUAGAUCUGGAUAUUCGCAAGCUUCCGCAUCCGCAAACGCACAAGCUGAAAGUUAUGGAAAUCAAGCGCUAGUACCUGUUGCACCAGUAUGGCCACGACCUUUACCUGU